AUUCCAGCUCCAAUAGCGUAUAUUAAAGUUGUUGCAGUUAAAAAGCUCGUAGUUGGAUUUCUGGUAGGAGCGACCGUGCCGAACUUGAUUGUUCGAGUAUUGUGUUGUCUUCAGCCAUCCUCGUGGAGAACUUUUCUAACAUUAACUUGUUGGGAUUGGGACCCGCGUCGUUUACUGUGAAAAAAUUAGAGUGUUUAAAGCAGGCAUUAGCUUGAAUACAUUAGCAUGGAAUAAUAAGAUAGGACUUUGGUACUAUUUUGUUGGUUUGCAUACCAAAUUAAUGAUCAACAGGAACAGUUUGAGGAUAUUCGUAUGAACAUGUCAGAGGUGAAAUUCUUGGAUUUUGAUCAGACGAACUACUGCGAAAGCAUUUAUCAAGGAUGUUUUCAUCA
rnacentral:rRNA from 1 species